GUUUGUGACACGCAAUAAAAUGUGGAACGAGAUCACAGGUAUGGGUGGCAGCUGUUACCGAGACAAGACCAAGUACAAAUGCGGUCGAGUUCGAGACGAGACCAAGAUCAUCAAAAAGUGGUCUGAGCACUACAACACUAGUGAUUAGUGAUAUAAGGAUGGAUUCCACUGGCGGCCU